GUUGUCGUCAGCUCGUGCCGUGAGGUGUCGGGUUAAGUCCCAUAACGAGCGCAACCCUUAUCGUUAGUUGCCAUCUGGUAAAGCAGGGGACUCUAGCGAAACUGCCACCGUAAGGUGAGAGGAAGGUGGGGAUGACGUCAAAUCAGCACGGCCCUUAUGUCCAGGGCUACACACGUGUUACAAUGGUCGGUACAGAGGGCAGCUACCUGGUGACAGGAUGCUAAUCUCGAAAACCGGCCUCAGUUCGGAUCGAAGUCUGCAACUCGACUUCGUGAAGCUGGAUUCGCUAGUAAUCGCGCAUCAGCCAUGGCGCGGUGAAUACGUUCCCGGGCCUU
rnacentral:rRNA from 1 species